rnacentral:tRNA from 2 species
GCCCCUAUCGUCUAGCGGCCUAGGACAUCGCCCUCUCACGGCGGUAACAUCGGUUCAAAUCCGAUUAGGGGUACGA